GGAAUAUUGCACAAUGGGCGAAAGCCUGAUGCAGCAACGCCGCGUGAGCGAAGAAGGCGGAAUCGUCGUAAAGCUCUGUCCUUGGGGAAGAAGAACUGACGGUACCCUUGGAGGAAGCCCCGGCUAAAUACGUUCCAGCAGCCGCGGUAAUACGUAUGGGGCAAGCGUUAUCCGGAAUUAUUGGGCGUAAAGAGUGCGUAGGUGGUUUUUUAAGCGUGGGGUUUAAGGCUACGGCUUAACCGUAGUUCGCCCCAUGAACUGGGAGACUUGAGUGCAGGAGAGGAAAGCGGAAUUCCUAGUGUAGCGGUGAAAUGCGUAGAUAUUAGGAGGAACACCGGUGGCGAAGGCGGCUUUCUGGACUGUAACUGACACUGAGGCACGAAAGCGUGGGGAGCAAACA
rnacentral:rRNA from 1 species